GCCAGGAUAGUCUAGUGGUUAGGGUUUUUGACUCCUAGUCAAAAGGUUCUGGGUUCGAUCCCCAAUGUCUGCA